AAUCUUGGACGAUGGGGGCAACCCUGAUCCAGCCAUCCCGCGUGUGCGAUGAAGGCCUUCUGGUCGUAAAGCACUUUUGGCAGGGAAGAAAAGGCUCUGGAUAAUACCUGGCGCCGCUGACGGCACCUGCAGAAUAAGCACCGACUACCUCCGUCCCAGCCGCCGCGGUAAUACGUAGGGUGCAAGCGUUAAUCGGAAUUACUGGGCGUAAAGCGUGCGCAGGCGGUUCGGAAAGAAAGAUGUGAAAUCCCAGGGCUUAACCUUGGAACUGCAUUUUUAACUGCCGGGCUAGAGUAUGUCAGAGGGGGGUAGAAUUCCACGUGUAGCAGUGAAAUGCGUAGAGAUGUGGAGGAAUACCGAUGGCGAAGGCAGCCCCCUGGGAUAAUACUGACGCUCAUGCACGAAAGCGUGGGGAGCAAACAG
rnacentral:rRNA from 1 species